AGACAUGCUGCCAUAGGAUGCACCAUUGGCGAGCAUCUCGAGCGGAGAGAUGUCCCACUGAGAAAUAAUUAUCGACUUUCCUCGAUGAUUCUCAUAUGAGUAUUAUAAAUUUGUGAUUUAUAUUGUAUAUAGUUUAACAUUACAUGAUUUUAUCUUUUUAAAAUGUCAAUAUGUCAGCGUGAAGUAAUAACUCAUUUGAUGUUGUCGAUGGAGGAGGAGGCACAGGGUCUCGUGCAUGAAGUAACGGUUCCGUACACCUAAGACGACUAGAUGUCUGAUUCGAUCUCCGAUCGAAACUGGGUAAGUGAAUUAUUGAUUAAUAUUUUGUAUGAGUUAGCAAUUAUUGAAUAAGUUAAUAAUAUGUAAGUUUGUACAGGACCGCGAGCCAGUUGAUCAAGCAUCACCUUCGCCGGCAGCAUCACCUCCGCCCAGGGCAUCACCUUCGCCACCGUCAUCACUUUCUCACCCUCAGGGUGAUUAUUCUGAUGAUUUGUACCAUCGCCUGACUAGAUUUAUGGUGCAAGAGGUUGGCGUGCUACGUUGAGAGCUAGGAAGAGUUAUAUCAGGGAAGGUCGGCGCGCUGCGUCGAGAGCUGAUAGGAGUUAUAUCAGAGGAGGUCGGCGUGCUGCGUCAAGAUAUGGUGGAACGGGUCGAUGAUCUAGGACGUCAGCUAGUAGGGAGGUCGAGGAUAUAGCUGAUGAUGUUAAAGUGCUGCGCGAGCAUUUAGAGGACCUUCAUGAUGAGGUGAUAGCACUUCGAGGUGACAUAGCAAGCAAACGAUGGGUGGACGGAGGUGAUGAUCGGGGGUUGAUCGAGAGGAUAGAGAUGGGGGUCACCCACAGUCGUGGUUGGAGAAUGCAUGUGACUCCUUUCUUCAGUCCAUAGAGGAUAGGGUGGACCCGAAGGCGGAGGUGGUGGCCUCGUUGGGGACAUGAACGACGGUCGAGGAGGUGGUGCCGACGAUAACGGAUGAGGAGUAGAGGAGGUGGUGUUGACGCGGGUGAAUGAAGUGGUGGGCCCCUCAGGAUGGGAGCUAUGGUUGAGAAGGUGGUGACAACGGGAGCGGAAGAGGAGGAGAGCGUGGAGGAGGUGGCGAUUGUCGGGGCAGAAGAGGGGACAAUGCUCGAGGUGGGCAAGGAGAGGAUGACAGUCGUGACUGGGGUAAAAAAGCAUGUUGUUGACAUGCUGGAACUUGUGGUAGGCAAGAGGUCAAGAGUGCCGUCAUAGUACAUUGUCUCUCCCUUUACGGCUGAUACAAAGAUGAGGAGGUUCGUCGAUGGGACGAUCCCCAACCUAUUUCGGGAAGUGGACCAUGCCAAGUAGAAAGCGUUUGAGAUAGAGUGGAGAAGAAUGUUGUCCGGGCUAGUAUUCAUGAUAUUAGUGAUAUUAGUAAAUACCAGUGAUCGUUACUCGUAUACACUUUUUUAACAUUUCUCUGUUUCUUUUGUCAGGACCAGCCGUACGAUCGAUACUGUGAUGAUCUCUAAUACUUAUAAGUGGUUCCACGACAUCAUCACUUCAUGAGCUUGGCUUACCGACGAUAUAAUGUUAAUUUUUAUGACUUGUAUAUCAUUUGUUUAUGCAAUGAAAUAACUCCUGGCCGAGUCAUACUCAAUUUGGAGUUCGGACAAAGCGUUGACAUUGAGUACCAGUCGCUCCAACAUGUCGGCAAGGAGUACGCAGUGCCCGACUACAUGCUCGAGUGGACCAUAGGGAUGUGGCCAAGUGUCGAGGGGAAGUCAUGGGAGAGUUGUACACAUAUGUACGUACCAGUGAUCGUGAAUCAUCACUGGAUAGCCUUGGAGAUUGUGUUCACUGAGUCUACUAUAUACAUAUACAAUCCCGAUCAUUCAUGUCUGACACAGGGUCAGUUCAAGCAAAAAUCUGAAGUACAUUGCUGUUUUUGUCCCUAUGAUGGCUAGACAGACGGGAUUGACUGUGAAGGACAGAUUAGCCAUCGUGCUGGACAUGACCAUGGCAAGGCAGACAAUAUUGUAAGUGGUUCUAA
rnacentral:lncRNA from 1 species